rnacentral:lncRNA from 1 species
UUUCUUUAUUUUUUGAUUACCAGGAGGUUCGGGCCUUAGGCCGUAAUUCUCUUAGGGUCCAGAGCAGACCGGGUGAAAGCCUCUGGCCAAACGGAAAUAUCUAGUAAUUUCGCUGUUGAAAGGAAUCGAUCCCUAAUUUAGACCAACAUGGCAACUCCUCGCUCAAGUGUAAACCACUAGACCAAGACCACCUGGUUUAUUUUUUGUAGUCUUGUGUGUU